GCCUCGGUGGUGUAGUGGUAGCACGCGUCCCCAGUAUGGAAUGAAAGCGGGUUCGACUCACGUCUGAGGUC